UUAAUUCAAAUUUGUAUGGAGUUUGAAAGUUCUCCUACGUUUGCCGCUAGGGGCGCUGUUCCAACUGCAUACAAAUUUGAGUUA
rfam:Bombyx mori DNA, contig: Bm_scaf5_contig4365, strain: p50T/Dazao, build 2, whole genome shotgun sequence.